CGAAGGGAGGGCUAGCGUUGCUCGGAAUCACUGGGCGUAAAGCGCACGUAGGCGGCUUUUUAAGUCAGGGGUGAAAUCCUGGAGCUCAACUCCAGAACUGCCUUUGAUACUGAGAGGCUUGAGUCCGGGAGAGGUGAGUGGAACUGCGAGUGUAGAGGUGAAAUUCGUAGAUAUUCGCAAGAACACCAGUGGCGAAGGCGGCUCACUGGCCCGGUACUGACGCUGAGGUGCGAAAGCGUGGGAGCAACAGGAUAGAACCUUGA
rnacentral:rRNA from 1 species